rnacentral:rRNA from 1 species
UACAGAGGCCUCGAGCGUUAGGCGGAAUCACUGGGCUUAAAGCGUGUGUAGGCGGACUUCUAAGUACCUUGUGAAACCCCACGGCUCACCCGUGGAACUGCUCGGUAUACUGGUCGUCUUGAGCCUUCUAGGGGCGAGUGGAACAAAUGGUGGAGCGGUGAAAUGCGUAGAUAUCAUUUGGAACGCCAAUGGUGAAAACAACUCGCUGGGGAAGUGCUGACGCUGAGACACGAAAGCCAGGGGAGCGAACGGG